UUACGCUCAUAUCAGGUUGAAACACCGGUUCCCGUGCGAUCACCGAAGUUAAGCAACGUCGAGUCUGGACAUUACCUAGAUGGGUAAUUGCUUCGGAAUACCAGA